GCUGGGCGUGGUGGCGGGCGCCUGUAAUCCCAGCUACUCGGGAGGCUGAGGCAGGAGAAUCACUUGAACCCGGGAGGCUGAGGUUGCAGUGAGCUGAGAUCGCACCACUGCACUCCAGCCUGGGCAACAGAGUGAGACUCGGUCUCAA
rnacentral:sRNA from 1 species